UACGUAGGCAGCAAGCGUUGUUCGGAAUUACUGGGCGUAAAGAGUGUGUAGGCGGUGUUCUAAGUCUGUUGUGAAAUCUCCCGGCUUAACUGGGAGGGUGCGGCGGAAACUGGAAUGCUAGAGGAUAGGAGAGGUAAGCGGAAUUCCUGGUGUAGCGGUGAAAUGCGUAGAUAUCAGGAGGAACACCUGUGGUGUAGACAGCUUACUGGACCAUUUCUGACGCUGAGACACGAAAGCGUGGGUAGCAAACAGG
rnacentral:rRNA from 1 species